AAAUAGAUACCCCGGUAGUCCACGCCCUAAACGAUGCGAACUGGAUGUUGGGUACAUUACGGUACUCAGUGUCGAAGCUAACGCGUUAAGUUCGCCGCCUGGGGAGUACGGUCGCAAGACUGAAACUCAAAGGAAUUGACGGGGGCCCGCACAAGCGGUGGAGUAUGUGGUUUAAUUCGAUGCAACGCGAAGAACCUUACCUGGCCUUGACAUCUGUCGAAUCCUGCAGAGAUGCGGGAGUGCCGCAAGGAACGACAAGACAGGUGCUGCAUGGCUGUCGUCAGCUCGUGUCGUGAGAUGUUGGGUUAAGUCCCGCAACGAGCGCAACCCUUGUCCUUAGCUGCCAGCACGUAAUGGUGGGAACUCUAAGGAGACUGCCGGUGACAAACCGGAGGAAGGUGGGGAUGACGUCAAGUCCUCAUGGCCCUUACGGCCAGGGCUACACACGUACUACAAUGGUCGGUACAGAGGGUUGCGAAGCCGCGAGGUGGAGCCAAUCCCAGAAAGCCGAUCCCGAGUCCGGAUUGGAGUCUGCAAC
rnacentral:rRNA from 1 species